rfam:Ictidomys tridecemlineatus contig108231, whole genome shotgun sequence.
GGGGCUGUGGCUCUGUGGUAGAGCAUUCGCCUAGCAUGUGUGAGGCCCUGGGUUCCAUCCUCAGCAGCACAU